ACUCAACUGACGAGUCCCAAAUAGGGACGAAACGCACGUCAAACUGCAU
rnacentral:hammerhead_ribozyme from 1 species